rnacentral:rRNA from 1 species
UGCAGUCGAACGGUGAUAUUUAUAUCAUAGUGGCGCACGGGUGCGUAACACGUAUGCAACCUACCUAUUAUUGGGGGAUAGCCUUUGGAAACGGAGAUUAAUACCGCAUAAUACGAUUAACUGGCAUCGGUUGAUUGUUAAAGCAUUUGCGAUAAUAGAUGGGCAUGCGUCCAAUUAGUUAGUUGGUGUGGUAAUGGCUCACCAAGACGAUGAUUGGUAGGGGAUCUGAGAGGAUAAUCCCCCACACUGGCACUGAGAUACGGGCCAGACUCCUACGGGAGGCAGCAGUAGGGAAUAUUGGGCAAUGGGCGGAAGCCUGACCCAGCCAUGCCGCGUGCAGGAAGACGGCGUUAUGCGUUGUAAACUGCUUUUUUAUAGGAAGAAGGAUCCCUUGCGAGGGAAGGUGACGGUACUAUAAGAAUAAGCACCGGCUAACUCCGUGCCAGCAGCCGCGGUAAUACGGAGGGUGCAAGCGUUGUCCGGAUUUAUUGGGUUUAAAGGGUGCGUAGGCGGUUUAUUAAGUCAGUGGUGAAAGACGGUCGCUCAACGAUUGCAGUGCCAUUGAUACUGGUAGACUUGAGUGAGAUUGAGGUAGCUGGAAUGGAUAGUGUAGCGGCGAAAUGCAUAGAUAUUAUCCAGAACACCGAUUGCGAAGGCAGGUUACUAAGUCUUAACUGACGCU